AUCACUUGAACCUGGAAGGUGGAGGUUGCAGUGAGCUGAGAUCGCGCCACUGCACUCCAGCCUGGGCGACAGAGAGAGACUCUGUCUCAAAAAAAAAAAAAAUAAGCUGCAACUAGGUGUCAUAUCCAUUUUCCCCCACUGAAUUAAUGAUGGCAUAAUAAAUUUAAUAUUUCAUUAAAAAUAAUUCAAGUUAGCCCUUUCCUUAUGGGUCACAUGGAAGUGUUAACUAAUAUUUACAACAACCUUGAUUUUCUGAUGCAAACAUAAAUUUUAGGUGUGUUCAUAUUAAAUAAUCUUAUAGUUCAAAGUUUUUUCAUUUAAAAAAAUAAUAGACUUUAUUUUUUUUAGAGCAGCUUCAGGAUUACAGAGAAAUCAGCUGGAAAGAACAGAGAGUCCCCAAAUAGCCCCUUCCAAACACACAGUUUCCCUUCCUACUAACAUCUGGCAUUCAUGUGGGACAUUUGUUACAAUUGAUACAUCAAUAUUGAUACAUUAUUAGUAAUGACAGUCCAUAGUUCAUUAGGGUUCACUCUUUAUGUUGUACAGUUCUAUGGGUUUUGACAAUGGUGUCCACCAUUACAGUAUCCUACAGUGUAGUUUCACUGCCCUAAAAGUCUCCCAUACUCUAACUCUUCACGCCUCCCUCCCCGCAAUCCUUGGCAACCACUACCAUCUCCAUAGUUUUGCUUUUUGCAUUGUCAGAUGGUUGGAAUCAUACAGAAAUCAUACUUUUUCAGAAUAGCUUCUUUCACUUAGCAAUCUGCAUUUUAAAAAGUGCAAGGAAUUCCACCCCAAAAUAUGACUCCUUGGCAUAAUAAGCAUUUUGAAUUAAAAGUCCUUAUAGAUCGAUAGGACUUGGAAGAGACUUUUCUCCUAGCUACACAAAGACCUGACAGAUCCACCAAGAAGAACAAUGGUUUUUUCCUGCCAUGUUAUUUCAUUGUCUAUUGCAGGAAUGAUGAUCAAGAAUGUAACCAGACUUGGCCCAACCUUUUUACAAAAUAAUGUCUGUCUCUCAGGCUCAUUCAUUUUCCAGAGAGAACCAAUUACAAAUCAGUCUCUGUUCCCCUAUCUAUUCAUCCCCCUAAGUAUCCACUCAUUCUCUCUAGUAAUCAUUUACUGCCCCUCAACAGAAUUACCCAUACUCCCUAUCCCCACCUCCCUUUUGGCAUGAGGUUAUGUAAGUCUUUGGGCCCCACUGGGAUAUUGGGUAAUCACUCUGUGAUUCUCUCCACAUGCAUGGUUAAAUAAAUUUGUAUGCUUUUCCUUUAUUUUUAUUUAUUUAUUUAUUUUAUUUUAUUUUUUGAGAUGGAGUUUCACUCUUAUUGCCCAGGCUGGAGUGCAAUGGCGCGAUCUUGGCUCACCGCAACCUCUGCCUCCCAGGUUCAAGCAAUUCUCCUGCCUCAGCCUCCUGAAUAGCUGGGAUUACAGGCAUGCGCCACCAUGCCCGACUAAUUUUGAAUUUUUAGUAGAGACGGGGUUUCUCCAUGUUGGUCAGGCUGGUCUCGAACUCCCGACAUCAGGUGAUCCGCCCACCUCGGCCUCCCAAAGUGCUGGGAUUACAGGCGUAAGCCACCUCACCCGGCUUGCCUUUUAUUAAUCUGCUUUAUGCUGAGUUGAUUUUUUCAGCGAAUCUUUCGAGGGCGAAGGGGAAGCUUUCCCUUCACCCCAACACAUGUAAGUCUCCUCCAUGUUUUCUCAUGUCCUGCUAACUAAUUUAUUUUUAUUGCUGAAUAAUAUUCCUUUUUAUGGAUGCACUGUGGUUUGGUUAUCCAUUCACCUACUGAAGGACAUCUUAGUUGCUUCCAAGUUUUGGCCAGUAUGAAUAAAGCUGCUAUAAAUAUUCAUGUGCAGGUUUUGUGUGGACAUAGUUUCCAACUGAUUUCAGUGAAUACCAAGGAGAAUGAUUGAUGGAUUAUAUGGUAAGAGUAUGCUUGGUUUUUUUAAAGAAACUGCCAAAUUUUCUUCUAUAGUAGGUGGCUGUACCAUUUUGCAUAUCCACCAGCAAUAAAUGAGAAUUCCAGUUGCUCCACAUCUUCAUCAUUUAGUCUUGUUGAUGUUUUGAACUUUAGCCAUUCUAAUAGGUGUGUGGUGGUAUCUUAUUGUUGUUUUAAUUAGCAAUUCCCUAAUGACAUACGAUGUUGAGCAUCUUUGUCAUAUGCUUAUUUUCCAACUGUACAUCUUCUUUGGUGAGGUAUCUGUUCAGAUCUUUUGACCAUUUUUAUUUAUUUUUUUGAGAUAGGGUUUUGCUCUGUUGCCCAGGCUGGAGUGCAGUGGCAAUUAUAGCUCAUGGCAACCUCAAAUUCCUGGGCUCAAAUGCUUCUCCCACCUCAGUCCAGAGUAGCUGGGACUACAGGCAUGCACCACCACACCUUGCUAAUUUUUUUAUUUUUAGUAAAGAUGGGGGUCUCCCUAUGUUGCUCAGGCUGGUCUUGAACUCCUGGCCUGAAGUUUUCCUCCCAUCUUGACCUCUCAAAGUACUAGGAUUACAGGUGCGAGCCACUGUACCUGGCUGCACAUUUUAAAAUUGAGUUUUCUUACUGUUGAGUUUUAAGAAUUAUUUGUAUACUUUGGAUACCAGUCUUUUAUUAGAUAUGUAUCCUGUAAAGAUUUUCACGUAGUCUGUGGCUUGUGCUAGUUUUUGUAAAAGAUGCAAGGACUAUGUCUAGGUUCUUUUUUAUUUGUUUGCAUGUGGAUGUCCAGUUAUGCCAGAAACAUUUAUUGAAAAGCCUUUCUCCACUGAAUUGGAUUUGCUCCUUUGUCAAAGAUUAGUUGACUAUAUUCACGUGGGUCUGUUUCUCAGCUCUCAAUUCUUGUCCACUGAUCUAUUUGCCUGUCCUUUUGGCAAUGCCACACUGUCUUGAUAACUGUAGCUUUAUAGUAAGUCUUUAAGCCAGUGGUGUCACUUUCCCAAAUUUAUUUUCCUUCAAUACUGUGUUGGCUAUUUUAGGUCUCUUGCUUUUCCAUAUAAACUUUAGAAUCAGUUUGUUGAUACCCACAAAAUAACUUGCUGAGAUUUUGACUGGAAUUACAUUGAAUCUAUAGACCAAGCUGGAGGAACUGACAUCUUGAAUAUAUUGAGUCUUCCUAUCUAUGAACAUGGAAUAUCUCUCCAGUUAAUAGAUUUUAUUUGGUUUAUUUAUUUUCUUUUUUUUUUUUUGAGACAGAGUUUUGCUCUUGUUGCCCAGGCUGGAGUGCAGUGGUGCAAUCUCGGCUCACUGCAACUUCCACCUCCUGGAUUCAAGCGAUUCUCCUGCCUCAGCCUCCCAAGUAGCUGGGAUUACAAGCGCCUGCCACCAUGCCCGGCUAAUUUUUGUAUAUUUAGUAGAGACGGCGUUUCAUCAUGUUGGCCAGGCUGGUUUCCAACUCUUGACUUCAGGUGACCUGCCCGCCUCAGACUCCGAAAGUGCUGGGAUUACAGGCAUGAGUCACCACGCCCAGCCUAUUUGAUUUAUUUCAUCAGAGUUUUGUAGUUUUCCUCAUACAGAUCUUAAAUGAAUACUUUGGAAUACCAAAGUGUUCCAUUUUUUGGUGCUAAUGUUAGUAGUACUAUGUUUUUAUAUAUCAAGGGGCAAUGAUUCAUUGUUGGUAUACUGGUAUUGGUGAUUUGUACCUUGUCUCUUUUUCUUAGUUAACCUGGCUAGAAGUUCAUCAAUUUUAUUGAUUUAUUUCAGAUAACCAGCUUCUGGUUUCUCUGUUGAUUUCCUUGUUUGUUUCAUUAAUUUAUGCUCUAAUUUUUAUUAUUUCUUUUCUCCUGCUUAUUUUGUUCUUUGCUAUUCUUUCCUAGUUUCCUAGGUGGAAGCUUAUAUUACUGAUUUUAGUCUUUCUUCUUUUCUAUAUAUUCAAUACUACAAAUUUCCCUCAAAACACUGUUUUCUCUGAAUCCCACACAUUUUAAUAGGUUAUAUUUUCAUUUAGCUUACAAUAUUGCUUGAGACUUCUUCCUUAAACCAUGUAUUGUUUGUAGGUGUAUAUAUAUAUAUAUAUGUAUAUAUAUAUAUAUAUUUUUUUAGACAGACUCUUGCUCUGUUGCCCAGGCUGGAGUGCAGUGGUGCAAUCUUGGCUCAUUGCAACCUCUGCCUCCCAGGUUCAAGCAAUUCUCCCACCUCAGCCUCCCAAGUAGCUGGGAUUACA
rnacentral:lncRNA from 1 species